rnacentral:rRNA from 1 species
GAUGAACGCUGGCGGCGUGCCUAAAACAUGCAAGUCGAGCGGCAGCGAGUUCCUCGCUAAUGUUCGGAUUUGUUUACCAAUGAUGCAAGUAAUUUAGUCAGAGUAACAAAGUAACGACUAGUUGUUUAAGUUAAAAGGUAGAUUUAAUAUUCCGGAUAUGAGCGAGGAAUGUCGGCGAGCGGCGGACGGCUGAGUAGCGCGUAGGAACAUACCCCAAAGUGAGGCAUAACCGCCCGAAAGGGUGGCUAAUACCGCAUAUUGUCUUCGGAUGAAAGCUUUUAGCGCUUUAGGAAUGGCCUGCGUUUGAUUAGCUAGUUGGUGAGGUAAGGGCUUACCAAGGCGAUGAUCAAUAGCUGGUUUGAGAGAAUGAUCAGCCAGACUGGAACUGAGACACGGUCCAGACUCCUACGGGAGGCAGCAGUUGGGAAUUUUCCACAAUGGGCGAAAGCCUGAUGGAGCAACGCCGCGUGCAGGAAGAAUGCCUUCGGGUUGUAAA